rnacentral:rRNA from 1 species
UUCCAGACUCCUACGGGAGGCAGCAGUGAGGAAUAUUGGUCAAUGGCCGAGAGGCUGAACCAGCCAAGUCGCGUGAGGGAUGACGGCCCUACGGGUUGUAAACCUCUUUUGUCGGGGAGCAAAAGCCGGACGUGUCCGUCUGUGAGAGUACCCGAAGAAAAAGCAUCGGCUAACUCCGUGCCAGCAGCCGCGGUAAUACGGAGGAUGCGAGCGUUAUCCGGAUUUAUUGGGUUUAAAGGGUGCGCAGGCGGAUUUUUAAGUCAGCGGUCAAAUCGUGGGGCUCAACCCCAUCCAGCCGUUGAAACUGGGGAUCUAGAGUGUGCGAGAGGUAUGCGGAAUGCGUGGUGUAGCGGUGAAAUGCAUAGAUAUCACGCAGAACCCCGAUUGCGAAGGCAGCAUACCGGUGCACAACUGACGCUCAGGCACGAAAGCGUGGGUAUCGAACAGGAUUAGAUACCCCAGUACG